GACGAACGCUGGCGGCGUGCUUAACACAUGCAAGUCGAACGGAAAGGCCCUGCUUGCAGGGUACUCGAGUGGCGAACGGGUGAGUAACACGUGGGUGAUCUGCCCUGCACUUCGGGAUAAGCCUGGGAAACUGGGUCUAAUACCGGAUAGGAGCAUUUUUUAGUGUGAUGGUUGGAAAGUUUUUUCGGUGUAGGAUGAGCUCGCGGCCUAUCAGCUUGUUGGUGGGGUAAUGGCCUACCAAGGCGGCGACGGGUAGCCGGCCUGAGAGGGUGGACGGCCACAUUGGGACUGAGAUACGGCCCAGACUCCUACGGGAGGCAGCAGUGGGGAAUAUUGCACAAUGGGCGCAAGCCUGAUGCAGCGACGCCGCGUGGGGGAUGACGGCCUUCGGGUUGUAAACUCCUUUCGCUAGGGACGAAGCUUUUUGUGACGGUACCUAGAUAAGAAGCACCGGCUAACUACGUG
rnacentral:rRNA from 1 species